UACGUAGGGUGCGAGCGUUGUCCGGAAUUAUUGGGCGUAAAGAGCUCGUAGGCGGUUUGUCGCGUCGGCUGUGAAAAACCUGGGGCUCAACCCCGGGCCUGCAGCCGAUACGGGCAAACUAGAAUUCGGUAGGGGAGACUGGAAUUCCCGGUGUAGCGGUGAAAUGCGUAGAGAUCGGGAGGAACACCAGUGGCGAAGGCGGCGCCUGGGCCAAUAUUGACGCUGAGGUGCGAAAAGCGUGGGGGAGCAAACAGG
rnacentral:rRNA from 1 species